rnacentral:rRNA from 1 species
AGUAACACGUGGGUAACCUGCCCAGAAGCAGGGGAUAACACCUGGAAACAGAUGCUAAUACCGUAUAACAGAGAAAACCGCCUGGUUUUCUUUUAAAAGAUGGCUCUGCUAUCACUUCUGGAUGGACCCGCGGCGCAUUAGCUAGUUGGCGAGGUAACGGCUCACCAAGGCGAUGAUGCGUAGCCGACCUGAGAGGGUAAUCGGCCACAUUGGGACUGAGACACGGCCCAG